UACGGGGGGGCAAGCGUUGUUCGGAAUUACUGGGCGUAAAGGGCUCGUAGGCGGCCAACUAAGUCGGAUGUGAAAUCCCCAGGCUUAACCUGGGAACUGCAUCCGAUACUGGAUGGCUUGAAUCCGGGAGAGGGAUGCGGAAUUCCAGGUGUAGCGGUGAAAUGCGUAGAUAUCUGGAGGAACACCGGUGGCGAAGGCGGCAUCCUGGACCGGCAUUGACGCUGAGGCGCGAAAGCCAGGGGAGCAAACGGG
rnacentral:rRNA from 1 species